rnacentral:rRNA from 1 species
GACGAACGCUGGCGGCGUGCCUAACACAUGCAAGUCGAGCGGAGACAGAUUUGAGCUUGCUUAGAUCUGUUUUAGCGGCGGACGGGUGAGUAACGCGUGAGCAACCUUUCUCUCAGUGGGGAAUAACACAGGGAAACUUGUACUAAUACCGCAUGAGACCACGACCCGGCAUCGGGAUGGGGUCAAAGAUUUAUCGGUGAUAGAUGGGCUCGCGUCUGAUUAGCUAGUUGGUGAGGUAACGGCCCACCAAGGCGACGAUCAGUAGCCGACCUGAGAGGGUGAUCGGCCACAUUGGAACUGAGAAACGGUCCAAACUCCUACGGGAGGCAGCAGUGGGGAAUAUUGGGCAAUGGGGGAAACCCUGACCCAGCAACGCCGCGUGAAGGAAGAAGGUUUCGGAUCGUAAACUUCUAUCCUUGGUGAAGAUAAUGACGGUAGCCAAGAAGGAAGCCCCGGCUAACUACGUG